ensembl:snRNA U6 U6 spliceosomal RNA
GUGCUCGCUUCAGCAGCACAUAUACUAAAAUUGGAAUGAUACAGAGAAGAUUAGCAUGGCCCCUGCAGGAGGAUGAUGUGCAAAUUCAUGAACCAUUCCAGAUUUUU